rnacentral:tRNA from 1 species
AAUAUGAAGCAAAUUAUGCAUUUAAUUUCGACUUAAAAGAAAGAGUAUUUACUCCAUAUUU